rnacentral:rRNA from 1 species
CGCGUAGGCGGCUUUUCAAGUCAGGGGUGAAAUCCCGAGGCUCAACCUCGGAACUGCCCUUGAAACUGGAUGGCUAGAAUAUUGGAGAGGUAAGUGGAAUUCCGAGUGUAGAGGUGAAAUUCGUAGAUAUUCGGAAGAACACCAGUGGCGAAGGCGACUUACUGGACAAUUAUUGACGCUGAGGUGCGAAAGCGUGGGGAGCAAACA